CAAGUCGAACGAUGAAGCCCUUCGGGGUGGAUUAGUGGCGAACGGGUGAGUAACACGUGGGCAAUCUGCCCUGCACUCUGGGACAAGCCCUGGAAACGGGGUCUAAUACCGGAUACUGAUCGCCUUGGGCAUCCUUGGUGAUCGAAAGCUCCGGCGGUGCAGGAUGAGCCCGCGGCCUAUCAGCUUGUUGGUGAGGUAAUGGCUCACCAAGGCGACGACGGGUAGCCGGCCUGAGAGGGCGACCGGCCACACUGGGACUGAGACACGGCCCAGACUCCUACGGGAGGCAGCAGUGGGGAAUAUUGCACAAUGGGCGAAAGCCUGAUGCAGCGACGCCGCGUGAGGGAUGACGGCCUUCGGGUUGUAAACCUCUUUCAGCAGGGAAGAAGCGAAAGUGACGGUACCUGCAGAAGAAGCGCCGGCUAACUACGUGCCAGCAGCCGCGGUAAUACGUAGGGCGCGAGCGUUGUCCGGAAUUAUUGGGCGUAAAGAGCUCGUAGGCGGCUUGUCGCGUCGGUUGUGAAAGCCCGGGGCUUAACCCCGGGUCUGCAGUCGAUACGGGCAGGCUAGAGUUCGGUAGGGGAGAUCGGAAUUCCUGGUGUAGCGGUGAAAUGCGCAGA
rnacentral:rRNA from 1 species